UGGUUGUCCGACCCUUCUAUCUUUUCUCGCCUGUAAUAAUAGGCUUAAUCGUAGGGCGGCAAAACCAACUUCCUGCGAAGAGUGAAUAUUACACGCGACUGCUCAAUUAACUAGACAAAUGUGUAUAAGUAUGUAUCAUUUCGAAUCCUCACUAAACUCUUUGAGUCAUAAUCUUUGGCACGAUCACGUACGCACAGAACGGAGGCAUGCUCUUCCUCAGCGGAGAAGAAUACCCAG
rnacentral:lncRNA from 1 species